AGGUUGUUGAGAGUACCUUUUGUUUCCGGAUAUUUUUUAUCCAGUUUAGUUGUGUAAGUUGUGUACGUAUUAAGUAAUAUAUUUUCUUAUUCUUAUUAUGUUGGUUAUAUGUUUUUUUUAAACUUGUUGCUUUUAAUGGACCUUUAAAACAAAUACAUGAAGACUUAUAAAAAUAACUAUAAAAUGAGUGACAAUUAGUAUUUG
rnacentral:lncRNA from 1 species